AAUAAAGUCUUAAAGGAAAUGCUUUUGACAAAAACUACAGAUUUAUUUAUUAUGUCCAGAGUUUAAGGAUCCAGUGACCAAUUUCAUAUUUACAUCUUUAAGAGUCAAAAUGUUGAGAUGGAAAAACCUUUAAAGUCUACUUUUAGUACACAGAAAA